CGGUUAAGUUAGAAAGGGCGCACGGUGGAUGCCUUGGCACUAGGAGCCGAUGAAGGACGGGACGAACACCGAUAUGCUUCGGGGAGCUGUAAGCAAGCUUUGAUCCGGAGAUUUCCGAAUGGGGAAACCCACCACUCGUAAUGGAGUGGUAUCCAUAUCUGAAUACAUAGGGUAUGAGAAGGCAGACCCGGGGAACUGAAACAUCUAAGUACCCGGAGGAAGAGAAAGCAAAUGCGAUUCCCUGAGUAGCGGCGAGCGAAACGGGACCAGCCCAAACCAAGAGGCUUGCCUCUUGGGGUUGUAGGACACUCUGUACGGAGUUACAAAGGAACGAGGUAGAUGAAGAGGUCUGGAAAGGCCCGCCAUAGGAGGUAACAGCCCUGUAGUCAAAACUUCGUUCUCUCCUGAGUGGAUCCUGAGUACGGCGGAACACGUGAAAUUCCGUCGGAAUCCGGGAGGACCAUCUCCCAAGGCUAAAUACUCCCUAGUGACCGAUAGUGAACCAGUACCGUGAGGGAAAGGUGAAAAGCACCCCGGAAGGGGAGUGAAAGAGAUCCUGAAACCGUGUGCCUACAAGUAGUCAGAGCCCGUUAACGGGUGAUGGCGUGCCUUUUGUAGAAUGAACCGGCGAGUUACGAUCCCGUGCAAGGUUAAGCAGAAGAUGCGGAGCCGCAGCGAAAGCGAGUCUGAAUAGGGCGAAUUGAGUACGUGGUCGUAGACCCGAAACCAGGUGAUCUACCCAUGUCCAGGGUGAAGUUCAGGUAACACUGAAUGGAGGCCCGAACCCACGCACGUUGAAAAGUGCGGGGAUGAGGUGUGGGUAGGGGUGAAAUGCCAAUCGAACCUGGAGAUAGCUGGUUCUCUCCGAAAUAGCUUUAGGGCUAGCCUCAAGGUAAGAGUCUCGGAGGUAGAGCACUGAUUGGACUAGGGGCCCCUACCGGGUUACCGAAUUCAGUCAAACUCCGAAUGCCGAUGACUUAUCCUUGGGAGUCAGACUGCGAGUGAUAAGAUCCGUAGUCGAAAGGGAAACAGCCCAGACCGCCAGCUAAGGUCCCAAAGUAUACGUUAAGUGGAAAAGGAUGUGGAGUUGCUUAGACAACCAGGAUGUUGGCUUAGAAGCAGCCACCAUUUAAAGAGUGCGUAAUAGCUCACUGGUCGAGUGACUCUGCGCCGAAAAUGUACCGGGGCUAAACGUAUCACCGAAGCUGCGGACUGUUCUUCGAACAGUGGUAGGAGAGCGUUCUAAGGGCUGUGAAGCAAGACCGGAAGGACUUGUGGAGCGCUUAGAAGUGAGAAUGCCGGUAUGAGUAGCGAAAGAGGGGUGAGAAUCCCCUCCACCGAAUGCCUAAGGUUUCCUGAGGAAGGCUCGUCCGCUCAGGGUUAGUCGGGACCUAAGCCGAGGCCGAAAGGCGUAGGCGAUGGACAACAGGUUGAUAUUCCUGUACCACCUCCUCACCAUUUGAGCAAUGGGGGGACGCAGGAGGAUAGGGUAAGCGCGGUAUUGGAUAUCCGCGUCCAAGCAGUUAGGCUGGGAAAUAGGCAAAUCCGUUUCCCGUGAAGGCUGAGCUGUGAUGGCGAGCGAAUUAUAGUAGCGAAGUUCCUGAUUCCACACUGCCAAGAAAAGCCUCUAGCGAGGUGAGAGGUGCCCGUACCGCAAACCGACACAGGUAGGCGAGGAGAGAAUCCUAAGGUGAUCGAGAGAACUCUCGUUAAGGAACUCGGCAAAAUGACCCCGUAACUUCGGGAGAAGGGGUGCUCUGUUAGGGUGCAAGCCGAGAGAGCCGCAGUGAAUAGGCCCAGGCGACUGUUUAGCAAAAACACAGGUCUCUGCGAAGCCGUAAGGCGAAGUAUAGGGGCUGACGCCUGCCCGGUGCUGGAAGGUUAAGAGGAGCGCUUAGCGUAAGCGAAGGUGCGAAUUGAAGCCCCAGUAAACGGCGGCCGUAACUAUAACGGUCCUAAGGUAGCGAAAUUCCUUGUCGGGUAAGUUCCGACCCGCACGAAAGGCGCAACGAUCUGGGCACUGUCUCAACGAGAGACUCGGUGAAAUUAUAGUACCUGUGAAGAUGCAGGUUACCCGCGACAGGACGGAAAGACCCCGUGGAGCUUUACUGCAGCCUGAUAUUGAAUGUUGGUACAGCUUGUACAGGAUAGGUAGGAGCCUUGGAAACCGGAGCGCCAGCUUCGGUGGAGGCAUCGGUGGGAUACUACCCUGGCUGUAUUGACCUUCUAACCCGCCGCCCUUAUCGGGCGGGGAGACAGUGUCAGGUGGGCAGUUUGACUGGGGCGGUCGCCUCCUAAAAGGUAACGGAGGCGCCCAAAGGUUCCCUCAGAAUGGUUGGAAAUCAUUCGCAGAGUGUAAAGGCACAAGGGAGCUUGACUGCGAGACCUACAAGUCGAGCAGGGACGAAAGUCGGGCUUAGUGAUCCGGUGGUUCCGCAUGGAAGGGCCAUCGCUCAACGGAUAAAAGCUACCCCGGGGAUAACAGGCUUAUCUCCCCCAAGAGUCCACAUCGACGGGGAGGUUUGGCACCUCGAUGUCGGCUCAUCGCAUCCUGGGGCUGUAGUCGGUCCCAAGGGUUGGGCUGUUCGCCCAUUAAAGCGGUACGCGAGCUGGGUUCAGAACGUCGUGAGACAGUUCGGUCCCUAUCCGUCGCGGGCGCAGGAAAUUUGAGAGGAGCUGUCCUUAGUACGAGAGGACCGGGAUGGACGCACCGCUGGUGUACCAGUUGUUCUGCCAAGGGCAUCGCUGGGUAGCUAUGUGCGGACGGGAUAAGUGCUGAAAGCAUCUAAGCAUGAAGCCCCCCUCAAGAUGAGAUUUCCCAUUCCGCAAGGAAGUAAGAUCCCUGAAAGAUGAUCAGGUUGAUAGGUCUGAGGUGGAAGUGUGGCGACACAUGGAGCUGACAGAUACUAAUCGAUCGAGGACUUAACCAAUUU
rnacentral:rRNA from 1 species